rnacentral:rRNA from 1 species
CACUCCUACGGGAGGCAGCAGUGGGGAGUAUUGCACAAUGGGCGCAAGCCUGAUGCAGCCAUGCCGCGUGUAUGAAGAAGGCCUUCGGGUUGUAAAGUACUUUCAGCGGGGAGGAAGGCGAUAAGGUUAAUAACCUUGUCGAUUGACGUUACCCGCAGAAGAAGCACCGGCUAACUCCGUGCCAGCAGCCGCGGUAAUACGGAGGGUGCAAGCGUUAAUCGGAAUUACUGGGCGUAAAGCGCACGCAGGCGGUCUGUCAAGUCGGAUGUGAAAUCCCCGGGCUCAACCUGGGAACUGCAUUCGAAACUGGCAGGCUAGAGUCUUGUAGAGGGGGGUAGAAUUCCAGGUGUAGCGGUGAAAUGCGUAGAGAUCUGGAGGAAUACCGGUGGCGAAGGCGGCCCCCUGGACAAAGACUGACGCUCAGGUGCGAAAGCGUGGGGAGCAAACAGGAUUAGAAACCCUAGUAGUCCCAUGA